rnacentral:lncRNA from 1 species
CUUGCCCACCUCCUUCCCUUUGUCAGAAAAACCCUCAUGGCCCACAUUCUGUCCAGGAAUCUGUCUCUAAGAUCAGCCCAUGGGCUGUGGUCAGCUGCACCCCUCCAGUAAGGACCCCUUUGGGUGCCCAUCUGAGCCACCAAAAAUGAUGCGUGAUUUUCGCUGGGAAUUUGACUCCUUCAGUUCUUGGCACUGUGAAGGACUGCGUGGCAGGGAGACGAUGCAUAAAGAUGAGGUGGCAGGGAGACGGCACCUUUAUGGCUCCUUCUGCAGACCCAGUGUAAGGUCUGUGGGGAAAAAAACUUCCACCAGUCUAGAGGGCACCUGACACAUCGCAGAAAAGCAACAAACGUUUCUCCAGUAAAUACUUUUCAGAGCCUAUUAACCAUGAAUAAUAAGAUAUAAAUUAAUAUAGAAAGAACAUACUGGUCUCUUACUCUGUAUUUGAUACAUUUGGAGGAGUUUACAUGGAUUCUUUCUUUGAGGCUCACAAAAUUCUCCAAGAUAGGUAUGGUUAUUAUUACAAUUUUAUCAGAGAAGAUGAAGGAAGAGAGAAAUACAGGUAUAUCACAAGCAUGGCUAUGAGGGAGCCAAACCAGUGUGCAAACCCUGGCAAUCAGAUCCUGCCUCUGCUAAAUCGCCGCUUGGUGCG